CCUACGGGCGGCAGCAGUGGGGAAUAUUGCACAAUGGGGGAAACCCUGAUGCAGCGACGCCGCGUGAGUGAAGAAGUAUUUCGGUAUGUAAAGCUCUAUCAGCAGGGAAGAAACCCACCCUCCGGGGUGGCUGACGGUACCUGACUAAGAAGCCCCGGCUAACUCCGUGCCAGCAGCCGCGGUAAUCCGUAGGGGGCAAGCGUUAUCCGUGUUUCCUGGGUGUAAAGGGAGCGUAGGUGGCAAGGCAAGUCAGAUGUGAAAACCCGGGGCCCAACCCCGGGAGUGCAUUUGAAACUGUCGGGUUAGAGGGCAGGAGAGGUAAGUGGAAUUCCUAGUGUAGCGGUGAAAUGCAUAGAUAUUAGGAGGAACACCGGUGGCGAAGGCGGCCUGCUGGACUGUGACUGACGUUGAGGCCCGAAGGCGUGGGGAGCAAACAGGAUUAGAUACCCUUGUAGUC
rnacentral:rRNA from 1 species